GACGAACGCUGGCGGCGUGCCUAAUACAUGCAAGUUGAGCGCUGAAGGUUGGUACUUGUACCAACUGGAUGAGCAGCGAACGGGUGAGUAACGCGUGGGUAAUCUGCCUUUGAGCGGGGGACAACAUUUGGAAACGAAUGCUAAUACCGCAUAAAAACUUUAAACACAAGUUUUAAGUUUGAAAGAUGCAAUUGCAUCACUCAAAGAUGAUCCCGCGUUGUAUUAGCUAGUUGGUGAGGUAAAGGCUCACCAAGGCGAUGAUACAUAGCCGACCUGAGAGGGUGAUCGGCCACAUUGGGAAUGAGACACGGCCCAAACUCCUACGGGAGGCAGCAGUAGGGAAUCUUCGGCAAUGGACGAAAGUCUGACCGAGCAACGCCGCGUGAGUGAAGAAGGUUUUCGGAUCGUAAAACUCUGUUGGUAGAGAAGAACGUUGGUGAGAGUGGAAAGCUCAUCAAGUGACGGUAACUACCCAGAAAGGGACGGCUAACUACGUG
rnacentral:rRNA from 1 species